GGUAUUCAUGGCUCCUAAAACGAAGAAUGUGGUGGUUCAAAGCAUAGUAGAAAAGGUGAAUCUUUUGGGUCUAGUGGUCGGGACCCGAUGCAAAAAUUUGUUAAGAAAGCUGUGGAUAAGUAUGGCUGUGAAUUGUUUGAAUGUCAAAUAGAGGCAAAAUACACCGGAAACAAAUUUAUGAAUGAGGAACUCUCAAGAAGAUUGGAGUUGAGAGGAAAGAAAAAGGUUGCAAAGGAAUGUUAAAAUUGUCUAAGGAUGGUAGCCUCAGGGCCAGGCGCACUGAUGGGUGCGAGGCGCCAAGGGCCAACAGACAGAGACGCUUUUGUGGCACACUGUUGGGCGCGACGCGCCAAGGCCUUAAGUUCAGAGGCGCUUUUCAAGAACAACACGCCAACACCAAAACAACUGGAGCAUGCUCUUGGCGCGGUGGUGGCGCGACACACCACCCCUUUUCCGACUUUUUCAACUUGUAAACAUUAAAUAGGAUUCCUUAGUUGUGUAGGAUUUGUUCCCAACUCUUUCUAUUAUUAUAAAUAUAACCUUAGGCCUCCCUUAUUAGGUUUCGACAUUCUGUUUAGUGUGCAUGAGCAACUAUUCAAAUUUGUAAUAGGUUUUAUCCUUUAACUCUUCUAUUUUCUGGAAAUCGCAUGAACUAUCAUAUUUUGUGGUUUUCAAAUAGCAUGAGUAGUUAAACGCCCUA